UACGGAGGGUGCGAGCGUUGUCCGGAAUCACUGGGCGUAAAGGGCGCGUAGGCGGCCUGAUAAGUAGGGGGUGAAAUCCUGCGGCUUAACCGCAGGGCUGCCUUCUAAACUGUCAGGCUAGAGCACAGUAGAGGCAGGUGGAAUUCCCGGUGUAGCGGUGGAAUGCGUAGAGAUCGGGAAGAACAUCAGUGGCGAAGGCGGCCUGCUGGGCUGUUGCUGACGCUGAGGCGCGACAGCGUGGGAAGCAAACAGG
rnacentral:rRNA from 1 species